rnacentral:lncRNA from 1 species
CGCGAAAGCAAAAACCACUUAUAAUGUACCGUAUUUACUCGCAUAAUGAUCGCACUCGCGUAAUGAUCGCACCCCUAAAUUUUGUCGUAAAAAUUCGAUUUUUUUUUCCCCGCGUAAUGAUCGCACCCCGAACUUGCCGCAGCGAUAUGUCGUGUGCCAAGUCUAGCUGAUGAUCAUCAUGUUUACCAUCUGUCGAACGUUACGUAAAUAACUCUUCAAGACUCACCAAGUGAACUGCACACACCAAACAGAUUCCCAAUUUUUGCCAACCCUUGGCGGAAACGUUCCGUAUUAGCAUAGCAGUAAACACAAAUGCCGUAGUUUUCACGACAUGCCUGCCAUGUGUUUCUACAUCUGUGGCAGCUGAACGCGCCCAUCUCUGUUUCUGUCCUCUAAAAGCGGACAUGGCUAUGCUGUUGCCGCAAAUUUACCGAUUUAAACGAAAUAAUUCAUUAUUUCGACGGAAGAAACUGUUUUCACGCGCGUGACGCACUCAUGACCUCCAUGACUCACGAGGAAAAACGCGAUCGCUUAGCUCCGUCAGCCGCCAUGUUUGUUUUGAUCACGUGGUUUUGAUAUCCCGCAGUGUUACAGCGGCAGCCGCCUGUUGGUUGACUUGUUGUCAUCCCGCAGCAACAAGCU